GCCAGGGGCACCCGGGUGGCCAAGGCUGCAGCUGAAGUUGGUCCGAGAACCCGCGAAGGCCCCGUGCCGGGGUCGCAGGCAGUCCUCUUAAAGACAGUAGGCCUGUUUGUGGAGUUCAAGAAAGGCCACACGCAGAAGUCCACCAUGGAAAUGUGUAUCAGGAGUAUGUCUAGUGCAACUCAUAGGAGGCGAAACACCUGCAAUGGCCCUUCAGGGGCAGGGCCAGGUCUCUAUAAAGAGGACAAGCACUCCAGAGGGACCCUGUGCUGUUAUCACAGUAGUUUUCCAUAGCAUGUUCUGCAGGUGAAAGGAGACCAUGUGGCCUUGGGGCUGAGAACCAGGAGAACUAACUUACUCCCUGCAGCCACUUUCUGUGGGUGACCCUCAGUGAACUGGGGUUCUCACUUCAGUGUUGGGCAUGAGCGGGAACUGUGAGAGCACUGUCUACAGCACAGCCUGGCCUCAUCAUUCAGCUGGACUGCCUAGUAGUGAGGGUGGCAGUGACUGCCCCACACCAACAGCUGCAGGAUCCUAUCACAGCCUUGCAGGGGAAGGUGACCUUUGGAGGACUGGGAUCUCGGCAUCUCCAUACUUCACAUAACUCACACUGUUGUCUUCAAAGUAAAAUUUAAAACUCAAAAGUAAA